rnacentral:lncRNA from 1 species
GUUUGCAUGAGACUUUGAAUAAAAUAUAUAUUUAUCAGUCUAGUAAAAUAUGAGAUUGGAACUCAAUACAAAUUCAUUUUUAAUAAUUGUUAAUGUUUGAUAUGAAAAAAACGUUACCUGACGAAAGCGUUUCUUUUGUUUACAUUGAAUAUGACGUCAUAACUUAAAGAACGUCACAGCUAAAUCCCUAACAACAGAACCAAAAUCGGGAACGUUAUGGUAUUUCCGUUUCUUUUAUCAAAAUGUUUGAAUUAAAAAAAAAAAAUACAUACAGACCCC